rnacentral:rRNA from 1 species
AACGAACGCUGGCGGCAGGUCUUAGGCAUGCAAGUCGAACGGGUGUAGUAAUACACCAGUGGCGAACGAGUGAGUAACGCGUGGGAAUCUGCCCAUCUCUGGGGAAUAACGUUUGGAAACGAACGCUAAUACCGCAUACGACCGCAAGGGGAAAGAUUUAUCGGAGAUGGAUGAGCCCGCGUUGGAUUAGUUAGUUGGUGGGGUAACGGCCUACCAAGGCGAUGAUCCAUAGCUGGUCUGAGAGGUCGAUCAGCCACGCUGGAACUGAGGUACGGUCCAGACUCAUACGGGAGGCAGCAGCUAAGAAUAUUGGGCAAUGGAGGAAACUCUGACCCAGCCAUGCCGCGUGAAUGAAGAAGGCCUUCGGGUUGUAAAGUUCUUUUAGUCGUGACGAUGAUGACGGUAGCGACAGAAAAAGCACCGGCUAACUUCGUGCCAGCAGCCGCCGCGG